rnacentral:misc_RNA from 1 species
UCCCGGUUGGCCCGGGCAGUCUCGCCUGAAAUUUCAACAGACGACAAGGGUUGCGCUCGUUGCGGGACUUAACCCAACAUCUCACGACACGAGCUGACGACGGCCAUGCAGCACCUGUCACCAGGUUCCUAAAAGGCACAGCACUGUUUCCAGCGCCUUCCUGGGAUGUCAAGCCUUGGUAAGGUUCUUCGCGUAGCUUCGAAUUAAACCACAUGUUCCACCGCUUGUGCGGGUCCCCGUCAAUUCCUUUGAGUUUUAAGCUUGCGCUCGUACUCCCCAGGCGGCACACUUAACGCGUUAGCUUCCCAGCCCAGGGGGUCGAUACCCCGAACUAGUAGUGUGCAUCGUUUACAGCGUGGACUAC